UGGUCAUAUGGCAUUGAUACACUGGUUUUCGUUUGAUCCCUGAAGUUAAGCAACAGUGAGCCUGGUUAGUAACCUAGAUGGGUAACAGGUUGGGAAUACUAGGUGCUGUAAG